rnacentral:rRNA from 1 species
AAUCAACGCUGGCGGCGUGCCUAACACAUGCAAGUCGAGCGAGAAAGUGUAGCAAUACAUGAGUACAGCGGCGCACGGGUGAGUAACACGUGGAUAACCUGCCUCAAAGUGGGGGAUAACACCGGGAAACCGGUGCUAAUACCGCAUAUUCUGACGAGAUCUGAGGGUUUGUUCAGGAAAGGAGCAAUUCGCUAUGAGAGGGGUCCGGCGGCUGAUAGCUAGUUGGUGAGGUAAUGGCUCACCAAGGCAUCGAUCAGUAGCCGGUCUGAGAGGACGGUCGGCCACACUGGAACUGAGACA